GUUUUUCACAAAAAACAUGUGAAAUUCUGUGAGUGGUCUGCCAGUGUACAGUAAACACAAGACCUGCCCACACAAAAUGCAGACUGGUUUUUGACAUAUGGAUUUUCACUGUGUACUUAUAAAAAUAUUUGGCUCUGGGACAAGACUUUAUGUGACAGAAAAGGAAUUCAUAAAACCGAAGGUGACAGUCUACCCAGCAUUAAAACCCGGGCUGAAUGGAAACACCACCCUGCUAUGUCUGGCUAAAGACAUGUUUCCAGACUUAGUCAAGAUCUCAUGGAAGAUGGUGGAUGAAAAUGGCACAGUCGUGAAGGUAUCCGAAGAGAAGACAGAAGUGCUGGAACAGACGGAUGAAGGACAGAUGACCAGUAUGAUCAUCAUUAAAGAAGAGAAGGCAGAUGUUAAUAAAUACAUCUGUUGGGUGACGCAUGAAGCAGGCUUUAACAUUGACGAAGAAACCGGCCAGUCCAUGUGUCGUCUGAACCUGGCAUUUCUGGCUUAUAUUGGGAUGAUAGCGAAGAGCAUGUUGUACUGCUGUGGAAUCACAUUCCUGUUUCAUCACAGGAACAUGGGAAGUAAACCCCACAUCUGUAGACACAUUAAUUGAACUGACUGAGUAACUAAUUAAAAUUUAAAAAAUUAACAAAAAUGUAAACUGAUGUUAUUACAAUAAUUUAUCAACCACAAAUAAUACCAGUACAAAGUCAUGGAAAAUAAAUAAAUGAAAUAUUAAAGACAUUUUUGUGGCAUGUGUACUUAAAAAGAAUGAAAUGCUGAGUGCUUAUUAAGCUGAGAAACUGCUAAAAAGUACAUUUCUAAGACGAAGUGAAAUCAUUGUUGUGCUGUUCUUUUUUAGGGUGCUUUUUUAAGGGUUAUGCAUCGUUUAGUAGAUUAGUAUAAUAAUCACUGUCAUAUUACAAUAAGAUAGUAGAACAUCAAGUAGAACAAAACAUGGUUUGGCAAAAGAUUGUAAAGUGUGUAUGUCCAGACAGAAACUAACACCAUUAAUAAAGGACUUGAUUUAAGAU